rnacentral:rRNA from 1 species
UGGGGAAUAUUGGACAAUGGGGGGAACCCUGAUCCAGCCAUGCCGCGUGUGUGAAGAAGGCCUUAUGGUUGUAAAGCACUUUAAGCGAGGAGGAGGGUACUGGUAUUAAUACUACCAGCUACUGGACGUUACUCGCAGAAUAAGCACCGGCUAACUCUGUGCCAGCAGCCGCGGUAAUACAGAGGGUGCGAGCGUUAAUCGGAUUUACUGGGCGUAAAGCGUGCGUAGGCGGCUAAUUGAGUCGGAUGUGAAAUCCCCGAGCUUAACUUGGGAAUUGCAUUCGAUACUGGUUAGCUAGAGUGGGGGAGAGGAUGGUAGAAUUCCAGGUGUAGCGGUGAAAUGCGUAGAGAUCUGGAGGAAUACCGAUGGCGAAGGCAGCCAUCUGGCCUAACACUGACGCUGAGGUGCGAAGGCAUGGGGAGCAAACAGG